CGGCUAGCUCAGUCGGUAGAGCGCAAGACUCUUAAUCUUGUGGCCGUCGGUUCGGUGAGUAAAAAUUCCGUUACAAACGCCCA
rnacentral:tRNA from 1 species